rnacentral:rRNA from 1 species
UGGGGAAUAUUGCACAAUGGGCGAAAGCCUGAUGCAGCCAUGCCGCGUGUGUGAAGAAGGCCUUCGGGUUGUAAAGCACUUUCAGCGAGGAGGAAAGGUUAGUAGUUAAUAACUGCUAGCUGUGACGUUACUCGCAGAAGAAGCACCGGCUAAUUUAGUGCCAGCAGCCGCGGUAAUA